rnacentral:rRNA from 1 species
CAAUUGGAGGGCAAGUCUGGUGCCAGCAGCCGCGGUAAUUCCAGCUCCAAUAGCAUAUAUUAAAAUUGUUGCAGUUAAAACGUUCGUAGUUGAAUAUUAAAGAAUCCGAUGUUUCAUUUAAACUGGUUUGGGAAAACCAAAUAUAUUAUAUAUUUUGCUUUGUUCUAAAUAAGGUUUUCUAAUAAAUUAUGUUUUUAUCAGAUAUGACAGAAUCUUUUUUAAAAUCUCUUCAAUAUGCUUUUAUUGCUUUUGAGAGGUUUUGUUACUUUGAGUAAAAUUAAGUGUUCAUAACAGACGGGUAGUCAUGAUUGAGUUCAUUGUGUUUGAAUACUACAGCAUGGAAUAACAAAAUUGAACAAGCUAAAAUUUUUUGUUCUUUUUUCUUAUUUUGGCUUAGUUACGAUUAAUAGGAGUAGCUUGGGGACAUUCGUAUUCAGAUGUCAGAGGUGAAAUUCUUAGAUUUUCUGGAGACGAACAACUGCGAAAGCAUUUGUCUAAAAUACUUCCAUUAAUCAAGAACGAAAGUUAAGGGAGUGAAGACGAUCAGAUACCGUCGUAAUCUU